GAUGAACGCUGGCGGCGUGCCUAACACAUGCAAGUCGAGCGAACGGACGAGAAGCUUGCUUCUCUGCUGUUAGCGGCGGACGGGUGAGUAACACGUGGAUAACCUACCUAUAAGACUGGGAUAACUUCGGGAAAACGGAGCUAAUACCGGAUGAUAUUUUGAACCGCAUGGUUCAAAAGUGAAAGACGGUCUUGCUGACUCUUAUAGAUGGAUCCGCGCUGCAUUAGCUAGUUGGUAAGGUAACGGCUUACCAAGGCGACGAUGCAUAGCCGACCUGAGAGGGUGAUCGGCCACACUGGAACUGAGACACGGUCCAGACUCCUACGGGAGGCAGCAGUAGGGAAUCUUCCGCAAUGGGCGAAAGCCUGACGGAGCAACGCCGCGUGAGUGAUGAAGGUCUUCGGAUCGUAAAGCUCUGUUGUUAGGGAAGAACAUAUGUGUAAGUAACUGUGCACAUCUUGACGGUACCUAAUCAGAAAGCCACGGCUAACUACGUG
rnacentral:rRNA from 1 species